rnacentral:rRNA from 1 species
CCAAUAGCGUAUAUUAAAGUUGUUGCAGUUAAAAAGCUCGUAGUUGAAUUUCGGGGUUAGUAGGUUGGUCAUGCCUCUGGUAUGUACUGGUCUCACUGAUUCCUCCUUCCUGAUGAACCGUAAUGCCAUUAAUUUGGUGUUGCGGGGAAUUUGGACUGUUACUUUGAAAAAAUUAGAGUGUUUAAAGCAGGCUAACGCUUGAAUACAUUAGCAUGGAAUAAUGAAAUAGGACGUUCGAUCCUAUUUUGUUGGUUUCUAGGAUUGACGUAAUGAUUAAUAUGGAUAGUUGGGGGAAUUAGUAUUAAAUUGUCAGAGGUGAAAUUCUUGGAUUUAUUGAAGACUAACUACUGCGCAAGCAUUUGCCAAGGAUGUUUUCAUUAAGCAAGAACGAAAGUUAGGGGAUCGAAGACGAUCAGAUACCGUCGUAGUCUUAACCAUAAACUAUGCCGACUAGGGAUCGGAUGAUGUUAAUUUUUUAAUGACUCAUUCGGCGCCUUACGG